rnacentral:rRNA from 1 species
CUAACACAUGCAAGUCGAGCGGUAUAUACUGAAUUGAAACUUCGGUCGAAUGAAGGUAUAGAGAGCGGCGGACGGGUGAGUAACGCGUAGGCAACCUGCCCCAUACAGAGGGAUAGCCUCGGGAAACCGGGAUUAAAACCUCAUAAUGCGGGAGCUUUUCAUGAAGCACCCGCCAAAGAUUUAUCGGUAUGGGAUGGGCCUGCGUCUGAUUAGCUAGUUGGUGGGGUAACGGCCUACCAGGGCUGCGAUCAGUAGCCGACCUGAGAGGGUAAUCGGCCACAUUGGAACUGAGACACGGUCCAAACUCCUACGGGAGGCAGCAGUGGGGAAUAUUGCACAAUGGGCGAAAGCCUGAUGCAGCAACGCCGCGUGAGCGAUGAAGGCCUUUGGGUCGUAAAGCUCUGUCCUUGGGGAAGAAAAAAAUGACGGUACCCUUGGAGGAAGCCCCGGCUAACUACGUGCCAGCAGCCGCGGUAAUACGUAGGGGGCAAGCGUUAUCCGGAAUUAUUGGGCGUAAAGAGUGCGUAGGUGGUUUUGUAAGCGCGGGGUGAAAAGCUAUGGCUCAACCAUAGUAAGCCUUGCGAACUGUGAGACUUGAGUGCAGGAGAGGAAAGCGGAAUUCCUGGUGUAGCGGUGAAAUGCGUAGAUAUUAGGAGGAACACUAGUGGCGAAGGCGGCUUUCUGGACUGUAACUGACACUGAGGCACGAAAGCGUGGGGAGCAAACAGGAUUAGAUACCCUGGUGGUCCACGCCGUAAACGAUGAGCACUAGGUGUCGGGGCCGCAAGGUUUCGGUGCUGCAGUUAACGCAUUAAGUGCUCCGCCUGGGGAGUACGCACGCAAGU